GUUUUAAUAGUUUAAGAAAAAACAAUGAUUUUGUAAACCAUAAAUAGGAAUAAAUCCUUUAAAACU
rnacentral:tRNA from 1 species